rnacentral:rRNA from 1 species
UACGUAGGGGGCAAGCGUUGUCCGGAUUUAUUGGGCGUAAAGAGCGUGUAGGCGGCUGGGUAGGUCCGCUGUGAAAACUCGAGGCUUAACCUCGAGACGUCGGUGGAAACCAUCCAGCUAGAGUCCGGAAGAGGAGAGUGGAAUUCCCGGUGUAGCGGUGAAAUGCGCAGAUAUCGGGAAGAACACCCGUGGCGAAGGCGGCUCUCUGGGACGGUACUGACGCUGAGACGCGAAAGCGUGGGGAGCGAACAGG